rnacentral:rRNA from 1 species
UACGGAGGGUGCAAGCGUUAUCCGGAUUCACUGGGUUUAAAGGGUGCGUAGGAGGGCAGGUAAGUUCAGUGGUGAAAUCUCCGAGCUUAACUUGGAACUGCCGUUGAUACUAUCUGUCUUGAAUAUUGUGGAGGUGAGCGGAAUAUGUCAUGUAGCGGUGAAAUGCUUAGAUAUGACAUAGAACACCAAUUGCGAAGGCAGCUCGCUACACAAAUAUUGACUCUGAGGCACGAAAGCGUGGGGAUCAAACAGG